UACGGAGGGGGCUAGCGUUGUUCGGAAUUACUGGGCGUAAAGCGCGUGUAGGCGGCGGUGCAAGUCGGGUGUGAAAGCCCUGGGCUCAACCCAGGAAGUGCAUUCGAUACUGCGCUGCUAGAGUCCCGGAGAGGAUGGUGGAACUCUCGGUGUAGAGGUGAAAUUCGUAGAUAUCGAGAAGAACACCGGUGGCGAAGGCGGCCAUCUGGACGGUGACUGACGCUGAGACGCGAAAGCGUGGGGAGCAAACAGG
rnacentral:rRNA from 1 species